UGUAUUGUAGUGUAUGGUGCACUUGAGUUUUUGAUGCUUUAGGUGAUAGUUUAAUUCUAUCCAAUAUAA
rnacentral:tRNA from 1 species